CAGUCGCCGCGGGAAUACCAGCAGCCCAAGUGGUGGUCGCGAUUAUUGGGCCUAAAGCGCUCGUAGCCGGGCCGGUAAGUCCCUUGUGAAAUCGGACGGCCUAACCGUUCGGCGUGCAAGGGAUACUGUCGGUCUUGAGGCCGGGAGACGUCCGAGGUACUCCGGGGGUAGCGGUGAAAUGUUCUGAUCCUCGGGGGACCACCGGUGGCGAAGGCGUUCGACGAGAACGGGCCUGACGGUGAGGGGCGAAGGCUAGGGGAGCAAACGGGAUUAGAUACCCCCGUAGUCCCUGUCUCUUAUA
rnacentral:rRNA from 1 species